rnacentral:tRNA from 1 species
UCCUUGGUGGUCUAAAGGCUUAAGACACUUAACUGGAAAGCAAGAGAUUCGAAUUCGACUCCCGGCCGAGGUA